UGUAUAAUGGGUCAGCGACUUAUAUUCUGUAGCAAGGUUAACCGAAUAGGGGAGCCGAAGGGAAACCGAGUCUUAACUGGGCGUUAAGUUGCAGGGUAUAGACCCGAAACCCGGUGAUCUAGCCAUGGGCAGGUUGAAGGUUGGGUAACACUAACUGGAGGACCGAACCGACUAAUGUUGAAAAAUUAGCGGAUGACUUGUGGCUGGGGGUGAAAGGCCAAUCAAACCGGGAGAUAGCUGGUUCUCCCCGAAAGCUAUUUAGGUAGCGCCUCGUGAAUUCAUCUCCGGGGGUAGAGCACUGUUUCGGCAAGGGGGUCAUCCCGACUUACCAACCCGAUGCAAACUGCGAAUACCGGAGAAUGUUAUCACGGGAGACACACGGCGGGUGCUAACGUCCGUCGUGAAGAGGGAAACAACCCAGACCGCCAGCUAAGGUCCCAAAGUCAUGGUUAAGUGGGAAACGAUGUGGGAAGGCCCAGACAGCCAGGAUGUUGGCUUAGAAGCAGCCAUCAUUUAAAGAAAGCGUAAUAGCUCACUGGUCGAGUCGGCCUGCGCGGAAGAUGUAACGGGGCUAAACCAUGCACCGAAGCUGCGGCAGCGACACUGUGUGUUGUUGGGUAGGGGAGCGUUCU
rnacentral:rRNA from 1 species